GGACCCCUAGCUCAAUGGUAGAGCAUUCGACUUUUAAUCGACCGGUUCCGGGUUCGAGUCCCGGGGGGUCCA
rnacentral:tRNA from 2 species